CAGCUUACACAUGCAAGUCGAGCGCCCCGCAAGGGGAGCGGCAGACGGGUGAGUAACGCCGUGGGAAUCUACCUUUUGCUACGGAAUAACUCAGGGAAACUUGUGCUAAUACCGUAUGUGCCCUUUUGGGGAAAGAUUUAUCGGCAAGAGAUGAGCCCGCGUUGGAUUAGCUAGUUGGUGGGGUAAAGGCCUACCAAGGCGACGAUCCAUAGCUGGUCUGAGAGGAUGAUCAGCCACACUGGGACUGAGACACGGCCCAGACUCCUACGGGAGGCAGCAGUGGGGAAUAUUGGACAAUGGGCGCAAGCCUGAUCCAGCCAUGCCGCGUGAGUGAUGACGGUCUUAGGAUUGUAAAGCUCUUUCACCGGUGAAGAUAAUGACGGUAACCGGAGAAGAAGCCCCGGCUAACUUCGUGCCAGCAGCCGCGGUAAUACGAAGGGGGCUAGCGUUGUUCGGAUUUACUGGGCGUAAAGCGCACGUAGGCGGACUUUUAAGUCAGGGGUGAAAUCCCAGAGCUCAACUCUGGAACUGCCUUUGAUACUGGAAGUCUUGAUUAUGGUAGAGGUGAGUGGAAUUCCGAGUGU
rnacentral:rRNA from 1 species